rnacentral:tRNA from 1 species
GGCGCUUUAGCUCAGUCGGUAGAGCAACGGACUGAAAAUCCGUGUGUCCCCAGUUCGAUUCUGGGAGGCGCCACUA